rnacentral:rRNA from 1 species
AACGAACGCUGGCGGCAUGCCUAACACAUGCAAGUCGAACGAGACCUUCGGGUCUAGUGGCGCACGGGUGCGUAACGCGUGGGAACCUGCCCUUAGGUUCGGAAUAACUCCCCGAAAGGGGUGCUAAUACCGGAUAAUGUCUUCGGACCAAAGAUUUAUCGCCUUUGGAUGGGCCCGCGUUGGAUUAGCUAGUUGGUAGGGUAAAAGCCUACCAAGGCGACGAUCCAUAGCUGGUCUGAGAGGAUGAUCAGCCACACUGGGACUGAGACACGGCCCAGACUCCGACGGGGGGAAGCAGUGGGGAAUAUUGGACAAUGGGCGAAAGCCUGAUCCAGCAAUGCCGGGUGAGGUAUGAAGGCCUUAGGGUUGUAAAGCUCUUUUACCCGGGAUGAUAAUGACAGUACCGGGAGAAUAAGCCCCGGCUAACUCCGU